ensembl:lincRNA
UCUUUUUCUCUCUGCUUUUUUCAAACUCUUUUAUCUUUCAAAUUUCUACAGCUACAUCAAAAGUCUUCCCCAAAGCUCCAUUCCUCAAUGACUGCACAAAUUGCUAGAAGUUUGAGAUUGACACAGACUUUAAAGUUCAGUUAUGCCAACCCUGAUCUUCCCUUUCCAACUUGCAUGGUGUGCAGAUGUUAAAAUAAGCAGCUGCUGUGCCCUGAGGGGUGAGGGAAAUGUGGUCGCCUAAAACACCACCAAAGGUUGCUGCUUAAACACUUCCCUCAGCCAUAUAUGAAGGCUAAAUCAGAUAAAGAUCCCAGGAAGCGUGCAACAGGUUAAGCAUCUGUGGGUGGCAGCAAAUUUAACUGAUAUCUCCAAGCUGCCUUUUAAAGAUAAAGACCUUUCUUCCCUACCUUUAACAUUUGAGCUUUUAAGAGAACAAAUUGGCUCUGUACUUUCUGGCAUAGGAAGUCUGAUUCAGCCAAACCAAACAUUAAGACUGAAGAGAUGCAGCUGUUUCUUGAACCGGAAUACAGGCACAAGAUUCAAAGGAAGCAGGCUGCUUUCUUGCAGCAAGACAAGGCAAGUUGGAAGAGAGGAUUAUUUUUCUUCUUCAAAACUCUCACCCUCAGGAAGAUUCCUAUCAACUACUUUGGGAAAGAGUGAGUACAAAAAGACAGGGGACAU